UUUUUUCGGAAAAAAAAACCCAGAAAAGCAGGCAAACAACCUUUCUCCUUCUAUCGACUUCUCAUUCUCCGGUAUUUUUUUCCCCUUCGCCGAACCGUCUUGCAUGUUGUUUGAUCCAUGAAACUUGACAAAAAUAUAUCCAUGGAAGAAGAUAUAAGAAAUCAGUUCGAUCUUUAGUUCUGCACUCUCUUUUAUGAUCAAGUAGGAAUGCGGCUUAGUUAACAGAGAUCUAGGUUCGAUUGCAUGUAAUGAAUCAGUCGAAGUUCGAUUUGAUAUACUUAUCGAGAUUGAUUUAGCAGAAAGAAGAAUCAGAAAAACAAACAUAUUUACAGCAUGAGUAGACAGAACACUCUCUCUAUCUCUUACUUAAUGAGUGCAUGCACUCUAUCAAUAAUGGUGGAGUACAUAUAUAUCAAGUUUUGCUAUUUAAGAAGUGAAAACAAUAUGGGGUGGCUUAAUCUAGAGAGAUAUGCUCGUGAAUAAGGAGAGCUGGUCUUAGUCAUAUUUUCAAGUGCUCGUCAGGAAGUACCACUACUCCUAGCAUUGUGAGUUGUAUUGCUCUGUUAGAAAUACCUCUCUUCUUCAUAAAUACAUUUCUCUUAUGUAAUGGAAAUAAUGAGACUAUUUUCUUUGAUCUGCAUGAUUAAUUGACCUUUUUGGAGAACCAAAAGACGUCAGCUGAACCAAAUUUAGACAAUGCACUUGCCAUUAAACAUGAGUAAAACACGGUUAGUAAUUUCCUUAGAAGAUUUUGAACUCAUAUGUUAAUGAAUUAUCCUAUGAUUUUCUGAUGAGAUGAAAGAAAAGAAGUAACAUGAGGAUUAGUAAUAGAUUAUGCUAUUUUCUUCACCAUACUGCUUAGCUCUUUACAUGAUUCAGUGAUGCAUAUAUGUUUUAUGUUAAUGAUUGUGUAAUCAAACAUUGGAAAUAUUGAAAGAAAUAGAAUCGUUUAGAAAUAGGAAAAGAAACAUCAUGUCUUUUGAAACACAAAAACAAUUCAUACUUGAAUGAAAUAAGUGUUUCAAUUGCAUACUUGAAUUAAAUAAGUAUUUCACUGCUAAAUUAAAUUAAAAA